rnacentral:rRNA from 1 species
ACCGCCCACCAGAAAGGAUUGGCAAAUCGUAGACAGGGUAGGGGUACGUAGCUUGCUACUUUUGCCGGCGAGCGGCGGACGGGUGAGUAAUGCCUGGGGAUCUGCCCAGUCGAGGGGGAUAACUACUGGAAACGGUAGCUAAUACCGCAUACGCCCUACGGGGGAAAGCAGGGGACCUUCGGGCCUUGCGCGAUUGGAUGAACCCAGGUGGGAUUAGCUAGUUGGUGAGGUAAUGGCUCACCAAGGCGACGAUCCCUAGCUGGUCUGAGAGGAUGAUCAGCCACACUGGAACUGAGACACGGUCCAGACUCCUACGGGAGGCAGCAGUGGGGAAUAUUGCACAAUGGGGGAAACCCUGAUGCAGCCAUGCCGCGUGUGUGAAGAAGGCCUUCGGGUUGUAAAGCACUUUCAGCGAGGAGGAAAGGUUGGUAGCUAAUAACUGCCAGCUGUGACGUUACUCGCAGAAGAAGCACCGGCUAACUCCGUGCCAGCAGCCGCGGUAAUACGGAGGGUGCAAGCGUUAAUCGGAAUUACUGGGCGUAAAGCGCACGCAGGCGGUUGGAUAAGUUAGAUGUGAAAGCCCCGGGCUCAACCUGGGAAUUGCAUUUAAAACUGUCCAGCUAGAGUCUUGUAGAGGGGGGUAGAAUUCCAGGUGUAGCGGUGAAAUGCGUAGAGAUCUGGAGGAAUACCGGUGGCGAAGGCGGCCCCCUGGACAAAGACUGACGCUCACGUGCGAAAGCGUGGGGGAGCAAACAGGAUUAGAUACCCUGGUAGUCCACGCCGUAAACGAUGUCGAUUUGGAGGCUGUGUCCUUGAGACGUGGCUUCCGGAGCUAACGCGUUAAAUCGACCGCCUGGGGAGUACGGCCGCAAGGUUAAAACUCAAUGAAUUGACGGGGGCCCGCACAAGCGGUGGAGCAUGUGGGUUUAAUUCGAUGCAACGCGAGAACCUUACCUGGUCCUUGACAUGUCUGGAAUCCUGUAGAGAUACGGGAGUGCCUUCGGGAAUCACAACACAGGUGCUGCAUGGCUGUCGUCAGCUCGUGUCGUGAGAAUGUUGGGUUAAGUCCCGCAACGAAGCGCAACCCCUGUCCUUUGUUUGCCAGCACGUAAUGGUGGGAACUCCAAGGGAGAACUGCCCGCUGGAUAAACACGCACGGAGAGUGGGGGAUGAAGUUCAAGUCAUUAUUUUGGCCGCUUACUAGGCCACGGGCUACUCAACAGGCUGACAAAUUGGAGCCGGUUCUGAAAGGCUGUCACCUCAUCCCACUUAGUGUAGUGGGAAUUCUCAAAAAAGACGGUCGCUAUUCUGGAUCGGAGAAUUGCAACUCGACUUCCCCUGCAAGUCGAAAUCCGCUAGGUAUCGCCAAAUCACACAGUUGCGUGAAUUACCGAUUCCUGGGCACUGUACAGAGCGUCGUCAACUGGCGACUGGACUUGGUCGAUUAGUGAU